rnacentral:rRNA from 1 species
GUCUGCGGCCAGACCGUCCUGAGCGCCGACCUCGUCGGAUCUCGGAAGCUGAGCGGGGUCGGCCGGCUUAGUUCUGGGAUGGGAGACCGCCGGGGACACCGGGUGCUGCGGCCU